GAUGAACGCUGGCGGCGUGCCUAAUACAUGCAAGUCGAGCGAACAGACGAGGAGCUUGCUCCUCUGACGUUAGCGGCGGACGGGUGAGUAACACGUGGAUAACCUACCUAUAAGACUGGGAUAACUUCGGGAAACCGGAGCUAAUACCGGAUAAUAUAUUGAACCGCAUGGUUCAAUAGUGAAGGACGGUUUUGCUGUCACUUAUAGAUGGAUCCGCGCCGCAUUAGCUAGUUGGUAAGGUAACGGCUUACCAAGGCAACGAUGCGUAGCCGACCUGAGAGGGUGAUCGGCCACACUGGAACUGAGACACGGUCCAGACUCCUACGGGAGGCAGCAGUAGGGAAUCUUCCGCAAUGGGCGAAAGCUUGACGGAGCAACGCCGCGUGAGUGAUGAAGGUCUUCGGAUCGUAAAACUCUGUUAUUAGGGAAGAACAAAUGUGUAAGUAACUAUGCACGUCUUGACGGUACCUAAUCAGAAAGCCACGGCUAACUACGUG
rnacentral:rRNA from 1 species